UACGUAGGGUGCAAGCGUUAAUCGGAAUUACUGGGCGUAAAGCGUGCGCAGGCGGUGAUGUAAGACAGAUGUGAAAUCCCCGGGCUCAACCUGGGAACUGCAUUUGUGACUGCAUCGCUGGAGUGCGGCAGAGGGGGAUGGAAUUCCGCGUGUAGCAGUGAAAUGCGUAGAUAUCAAGAGGAACACCAGUGGCGAAGGCGAGUCCCUGGACGAUACCUGACACUGAGGCACGAAAGCCGGGGGGAGCAAACAGG
rnacentral:rRNA from 1 species